AGUCGAGCGGUACAGGCCUUCGGGUGCUGACGAGCGGCGGACGGGUGAGUAAUGCUUGGGAACUUGCCUUUCGGAGGGGGAUAACCAUUGGAAACGAUGGCUAAUACCGCAUAACGUCAACGGACCAAAGUGGGGGAUCUUCGGACCUCACACCGAGAGAUAGGCCCAAGUGAGAUUAGCUAGUUGGUGGGGUAAAGGCUCACCAAGGCGACGAUCUCUAGCUGUUCUGAGAGGAUGAUCAGCCACACUGGGACUGAGACACGGCCCAGACUCCUACGGGAGGCAGCAGUGGGGAAUAUUGCACAAUGGGGGAAACCCUGAUGCAGCCAUGCCGCGUGUGUGAAGAAGGCCUUCGGGUUGUAAAGCACUUUCAGUGGUGAGGAAGGCUAUCGUGUUAAUAGCACGGUAGAUUGACGUUAGCCACAGAAGAAGCACCGGCUAACUCCGUGCCAGCAGCCGCGGUAAUACGGAGGGUGCGAGCGUUAAUCGGAAUUACUGGGCGUAAAGCGUACGUAGGCGGCUCAUUAAGCAAGAUGUGAAAGCCCCGGGCUCAACCUGGGAAUGGCAUUUUGAACUGGUGAGCUCGAGUUUUGAAGAGGGUGGUAGAAUUUCCAGUGUAGCGGUGAAAUGCGUAGAUAUUGGAAGGAAUACCAGUGGCGAAGGCGGCCACCUGGUCAAGAACUGACGCUGAGGUACGAAAGCGUGGGGAGCAAACAGGAUUAGAUACCCUGGUAGUCCACGCCGUAAACGAUGUCAACUAGUUGUUCGUCUCAUAAACGAGGUGAGUAACGCAGCUAACGCACUAAGUUGACCGCCUGGGGAGUACCGCC
rnacentral:rRNA from 1 species